rnacentral:rRNA from 1 species
UUGUCUCAAAGAUUAAGCCAUGCAUGUCUCAGUACAAGCCACAUUAAGGUGAAACCGCGAAAGGCUCAUUAAAUCAGUUAUGGUUCCUUAGAUCGUACCCACAUUUACUUGGAUAACUGUGGUAAUUCUAGAGCUAAUACAUGCAAACAGAGCUCCGACCGUUUACGGGAGGAGCGCUUUUAUUAGAUCAAAACCAAUCGGUGGUGGUUUCGGCUGCCAUCGUACACCUUGGUGACUCUGAAUAACUUUAAGCUGAUCGCACGGUCUCGCACCGGCGACGCAUCUUUCAAAUGUCUGCCUUAUCAACUGUCGAUGGUAGGUUCUGCGCCUACCAUGGUCGUAACGGGUAACGGGGAAUCAGGGUUCGAUUCCGGAGAGGGAGCCUGAGAAACGGCUACCACAUCCAAGGAAGGCAGCAGGCGCGCAAAUUACCCACUCCCGGCACGGGGAGGUAGUGACGAAAAAUAACGAUACGGGACUCAUCCGAGGCCUCGUAAUCGGAAUGAGUACACUCUAAACCCUUUAACGAGGAUCAAUUGGAGGGCAAGUCUGGUGCCAGCAGCCGCGGUAAUUCCAGCUCCAAUAGCGUAUAUUAAAGUUGUUGCGGUUAAAAAGCUCGUAGUCGAAUUUGUGUCCCGCGCCGCCGGUUCAUCGUCCGCGGUGUUAACUGGCGUGUCGCGAGACGUCCUGCCGGUGGGCUUAGCCCGCGAGGGCGGCCCAACUCAAUCCCGCCGCGGUGCUCUUCACUGAGUGUCGAGGUGGGCCGGCACGUUUACUUUGAACAAAUUAGAGUGCUUAAAGCAGGCUAGAAUUUCGCCUGAAUACUGUGUGCAUGGAAUAAUGGAAUAGGACCUCGGUUCUAUUUUGUUGGUUUUCGGAACCCCGAGGUAAUGAUUAAUAGGAACGGAUGGGGGCAUUCGUAUUGCGACGUUAGAGGUGAAAUUCUUGGACCGUCGCAAGACGAACAGAAGCGAAAGCAUUUGCCAAAAACGCUUUCAUUGAUCAAGAACGAAAGUUAGAGGUUCGAAGGCGAUCAGAUACCGCCCUAGUUCUAACCAUAAACGAUGCCAGCUAGCGAUCCGCCGACGUUCCUCCGAUGACUCGGCGGGCAGCUUCCGGGAAACCAAAGCUUUUGGGUUCCGGGGGAAGUAUGGUUGCAAAGCUGAAACUUAAAGGAAUUGACGGAAGGGCACCACCAGGAGUGGAGCCUGCGGCUUAAUUUGACUCAACACGGGAAACCUCACCAGGCCCGGACACCGGAAGGAUUGACAGAUUGAGAGCUCUUUCUUGAUUCGGUGGGUGGUGGUGCAUGGCCGUUCUUAGUUGGUGGA